CCCAACUAUCCCUAUUAAUCAUUACGUCGAUCCUAGAAACCAACAAAAUAGAAUCAAACGUCCUAUUCCAUUAUUCCAUGCUAAUGUAUUCAAGCGUGAGCCUGCUUUAAACACUCUAAUUUUUUCAAAGUAACAGUCCUGAUUCCCCAUAACACCAAAUUAAUGGCAUUAUAGUUCGUCAGAAAGGAGAAACCAAUAAAACCAGUACGUACAAAAGCACGACCAGUAGAUCGGUCUCGAAAUUCAACUACGAGCUUUUUAACUGCAACAACUUUAAUAUACGCUAUUGGAGCUGGAAUUACCGCGGCUGCUGGCACCAGACUUGCCCUCCAA
rnacentral:misc_RNA from 1 species